rnacentral:misc_RNA from 1 species
AAUCAGUAUGAGUUUUUUUGUGCAAAGAAUGGGAGGCCCUAAUUUGUACUCACAGAGGAAAGGCCAUACAGCAUUGAUUGGACGCCACCGCACGUUUCCAGUAACUCAUAAAGCAGCAGAGAGAUGGUUACACCAUAUGCAACAAGCAUUAGACAGUGCUGCAGAUAUUGAUGAAGAUUCCAAAACUAAAAUGAUCAACUUUUUUAGACACACUGCAUUCUUUUUGGUAGCUGGAGUUGAGUUAAAGAAUCAAAACAAAGGAACAGGAUGUAAGAACUGCAGCCACCACCACUAAGCAAGUUGAUGAGUUUAAUUGACUAUAUUGAUAAAAGAAUUGUGCCUCAAUCGCAAACUAGUUGGAAUUGACUAUAUGAAUCCUGACCGUCUAUGUUACCG